rnacentral:rRNA from 1 species
AGGGAAUCUUCGGCAAUGGGGGCAACCCUGACCGAGCAACGCCGCGUGAGUGAAGAAGGUUUUCGGAUCGUAAAGCUCUGUUGUAAGUCAAGAACGGGUGUGAGAGUGGAAAGUUCACACUGUGACGGUAGCUUACCAGAAAGGGACGGCUAACUACGUGCCAGCAGCCGCGGUAAUACGUAGGUCCCGAGCGUUGUCCGGAUUUAUUGGGCGUAAAGCGAGCGCAGGCGGUUUGAUAAGUCUGAAGUUAAAGGCUGUGGCUCAACCAUAGUUCGCUUUGGAAACUGUCAAACUUGAGUGCAGAAGGGGAGAGUGGAAUUCCAUGUGUAGCGGUGAAAUGCGUAGAUAUAUGGAGGAACACCGGUGGCGAAAGCGGCUCUCUGGUCUGUAACUGACGCUGAGGCUCGAAAGCGUGGGGAGCGAACAGGAUUAGAUACCCUGGUAGUCCACGCCGUAAACGAUGAGUGCUAGGUGUUGGAUCCUUUCCGGGAUUCAGUGCCGAAGCUAACGCAUUAAGCACUCCGCCUGGGGAGUACGACCGCAAGGUUG